rnacentral:rRNA from 1 species
UACGUAGGGUGCAAGCGUUGUCCGGAAUUAUUGGGCGUAAAGCGCUCGUAGGCGGUUUGUCGCGUCUGCUGUGAAAACCCGAGGCUCAACCUCGGGCCUGCAGUGGGUACGGGCAGACUAGAGUGCGGUAGGGGAGAAUGGAAUUCCUGGUGUAGCGGUGGAAUGCGCAGAUAUCAGGAGGAACACCGAUGGCGAAGGCAGUUCUCUGGGCCGUAACUGACGCUGAGGAGCGAAAGCGUGGGGAGCGAACAGG